CGCGCUCUGCGAGGGCUCGUGCUGGGGGAGCGCUCCUGGCUCGGAGCAGAGUAGACUCUGGCCACACAGCCCCUCCUGGGAAGCUUGGGGCCGCACCAACAGGCUUGGUGCCCUCAGCUGGGAAGAACUCCGCUGAAGGGUGGAGGGCUGCGCUGCUGCUGCUGCGGAGAUCUUGGCCGAACAAGGCCGGGACCCCUGGGUGCGGCUGAGGAGCCGUCAGGAGGCGCUCUGCCUGGCCCCAGCCCGGCCUCCAGGGGACUCUCCCUGGGGACCCAGGAGGCCUGGCUCACGUUUCUUAUUUAUAUAGAAGACAUUUCGCUCCUUUUGUACAUUUUUAAUGGGCCAGCAGGGAAGCCUCAAUGCAGCCAAGUCAGUGAGCCCACGUGGGCUGUGAGGACGAGCCUGGGACCUCUGGAGAGGGAGGGGAUUUGAGGCAAAGAUGGACAAGAAUCCGCCGUCAAAGCUUCUAUCUUUCUUUGAAUUACAUACGCUUCCCACAGGGCUGUGGGUGCUGUGCAGGAGCCAGUGGGGACACAGGAGGCAAAUGAAACUUUGAGCAGCCAUCUCGGACCCUGACUACAGGCGAAAGAGGAGAGUGAAGGGCAUAUACAGAGGCUGACACGGGGCACCCUCCUCUGUCACCCUUCACCUACUCAUGAUGAGGGUGGAGGCCAACCCCGCCUGUGAGCUCCUGCUGCAAUCCAGCUCCGCCAAAUGCCUUCUCUGAAAGAGAUCGUUUUAGUCUUUACAGUUCGACUGUAAACUUCUGGGAGUGAAGACCAUAACUUGUUGCCCCCGCCACUUGUUUUCCAAGAAACUCACUUGUGAAAUGUGUCCAGAUGGGUGGACGUGUACUCUGUUUUAAGCCUGUCCAUGUGUAUAUUUGAUACGCAGAUCAAAUAAUGAGUGCUGCCUCGGCCAUUGGCCACCUGAUUGGCUGUGGGACAAAUGGAUCCAAUUAAUAUCUGUAGAGAUUCACAAAGGCCUGCUAUUAAUAAAUUGUAGUGUUUCCAGGUGAGUGUUGUUCAACAUGUCCUGUGUAUCCCCCACUGUUUUCAUAAAAAUGUGUGCUAAAUGUCUUUUAAAAUUCUGUGGCAUAGUGACUCAAC
rnacentral:lncRNA from 1 species